UAUAGUUAACUUUGAUAGGUUUAAUCGAGACUUAUUGUUUCUGGAUAAAAAGAAGGUUGGAAGAAGUAGUGAGGAGAUUUAUGUGAGUAAAUUUAAGUAUGUUGAUAACUAGUUAAAAUCGUGCCAGCAGCUGCGGUUAUACGGUUAGAGGGAUUAAGGGGUUAGUUAAUAGCUUAAGAGAUAAAAUGGGAGGUGAAAUUCGGAAUUUGGGAUAAAAGGCAUGUGAGGGGUGUUACUAAACAGAUUAGGUACCUGUGUAGGGAGGAUAAUUAAUAUGAGAGGAAUAUUUUAAUGGUGUGGCGGUACGUUUGAAAGGUAGGGGGACUUGAAAAGGAUAGUUAACCUAAAGAGGAAUUAUUUUGUCUUCUUGUAUGAUUGUUUAGAUUGACGUGCGAUCUUAAGCAAAUUUCACGAGGGUUGGUUUUACAAUUUUGAGUUUUGAGAGUAGUUAGAGGCAAAGGAUUUAUGAGUAAUGGAGAUGGGAUGAAUAUAUCAAAUGUGAGUACAUAUUGCCCGUCAACACCCCCAGGGUGUAAGUCGUAACACAGUGACUCUACUUGAAAGUGGAGUUGUUCUUGU
rnacentral:rRNA from 1 species